GAUGAACGCUGGCGGCGUGCCUAAUACAUGCAAGUCGAGCGAACGGACGAGAAGCUUGCUUCUCUGAUGUUAGCGGCGGACGGGUGAGUAACACGUGGAUAACCUACCUAUAAGACUGGGAUAACUUCGGAAAACCGGAGCUAAUACCGGAUAAUAUUUUGAACCGCAUGGUUCAAAAGUGAAAGACGGUCUUGCUGUCACUUAUAGAUGGAUCCGCGCUGCAUUAGCUAGUUGGUAAGGUAACGGCUUACCAAGGCAACGAUGCAUAGCCGACCUGAGAGGGUGAUCGGCCACACUGGAACUGAGACACGGUCCAGACUCCUACGUGAGGCAGCAGUAGGGAAUCUUCCGCAAUGGGCGAAAGCCUGACGGAGCAACGCCGCGUGAGUGAUGAAGGUCUUCGGAUCGUAAAACUCUGCUAUUAGGGAAGAACAUAUGUGUAAGUAACUGUGCACAUCUUGACGGUACCUAAUCAGAAAGCCACGGCUAACUACGUG
rnacentral:rRNA from 1 species